UCAACAAGGUUUUAUUUCUUCGUAUCUUAUCAAUUUGUUCUGCUUUCAAUCAUCCUUCAACAGGAAGCCAUGGAAGCUCAUCAUUGUUCAUUGCAUUUUGUACAAGAAGUGGAAGACAUUGACGUCUCCAUGAGGGUCUUUUGGGAAUCCCUUGACAGAGUUGGAGUCAAUUGAUCUGAAUAUCUGAAGUAGAAAUUGAAGAAAGCAAACAGGACUUAGAGUCGACUCAGACUCGAAGUUCUUAACCAGCGUUCUUGGAAGUUGGUUAGGAUGUCGUACGCUGCAGGACCGUCGAUCUUACUGUGCAAAUCAUGCCACGGUUCUCGUGGACAACCUUCACUCGGUCCCUAAUUUAGUCAAUUG